AGCAGUGUAGCCUAGUGAUAGGCUUGGGGCUUGUAACCUAAAGAUCGCUGGUUCGAUUCCCCACUGAGG